CGCAGGCCCCGCCCCGCGGCGGUGGGCGGGCGGCGGUGCCGGGGACGCGCGGUGCCGGUGCCGGUUGGCUGCGGGCGGUGACGGCGGGAGGCGGUGGCGAACAUGGCGGCGGCGGCGGCCGAGGAGGCGGCGGCAGCGGCGGGGCGGCGCUGAGGAGGCCCGAGGCGGGCCGAGGAGUGGCGGGGCGGGCGGGCGGGGGCCCAUGUGCGGUGGCGGCGGACCCCCCCCGCCCCCCACUACCGACGGCCGGUCGCAGCCAGGCGCCGCCGAGGCGGCUCUGCGGGCGCGGAGCGAGCGCGGCCCCGGCCCGCCCGCGGCGGCAGGAUGAAGUUCGCCGAGCACCUCGCGGCGCACAUCACCCCCGAGUGGCGGAAGCAGUACAUCCAGUAUGAGGCUUUGAAAGAGAUGCUAUAUGCAGCUGUGGACCAGGCCCCUUCUAUAGAAGUGUGAGCAAAUGGUGUUUGUGCUAAUGGAACUUUGAAAUCUGAUGUUGGAAUGUGACUUCCUGGGCUUGGCUAGAGUUAUCUAGGAUUUCAAGGUGGGCUUGAGUUGAUUGUUGUAAAGUGUUAUAAUUCAGCAUUUUCAUUUCUUUAUUUUCAGUGCUUGUUUUACAGUGGUGUUCUGUAAUGUGCUGUGAUGU